rnacentral:rRNA from 1 species
ACGGAAGGCAGCAGUGGGGAAUAUUGGGCAAUGGGCGAAAGCCUGACCCAGCGACGCCGCGUGAAGGAAGACGGUCUUCGGAUUGUAAACUUCUUUUAUGUAGGACGAAGAAAAUGACGGUACUACAUGAAUAAGCCACGGCUAACUACGUGCCAGCAGCCGCGGUAAUACGUAGGUGGCGAGCGUUAUCCGGAUUUACUGGGUGUAAAGGGUGUGUAGGCGGGAUUGCAAGUCAGAUGUGAAAAUUAUGGGCUCAACUCAUAACCUGCAUUUGAAACUGUAGUUCUUGAGGGUCGGAGAGGCAACCGGAAUUCCUGGUGUAGCGGUGAAAUGCGUAGAUAUCAGGAGGAACACCGGUGGCGAAGGCGGGUUACUGGACGAUUACUGACGCUGAGACACGAAAGCGUGGGGAGCAAACAGGAUUAGAUACCCUGGUA